rnacentral:rRNA from 1 species
CAGCCGCCGCGGUAAUGCGUAGGUGGCAAGCGUUGUCCGGAAUUAUUGGGCGUAAAGGGCUCGCAGGCGGUUUCUUAAGUCUGAUGUGAAAGCCCCCGGCUCAACCGGGGAGGGUCAUUGGAAACUGGGAAACUUGAGUGCAGAAGAGGAGAGUGGAAUUCCACGUGUAGCGGUGAAAUGCGUAGAGAUGUGGAGGAACACCAGUGGCGAAGGCGACCCUCUGGUCUGUAACUGACGCUGAGGAGCGAAAGCGUGGGGAGCGAACAGGAUUAGAUACCCCUGUAGUCCCUGUCUCUUAUAC